AGUCGACGAAGAUACUUAAAAUGAGAGCUUCGGCAGGAUUUUUAUUUAUCUUAGUGGCGGACGGGUGAGUAACGUGUGGGCAACCUGCCCUAUACUGGGGAAUAAUCACUGGAAACGGUGACUAAUACCGCAUGUCAUUACGGAAGGGCAUCCUUCUGUAAGAAAAGGAGUAAUUCGGUAUAGGAUGGGCCCGCAUCUGAUUAGCUAGUUGGUGAGAUAACAGCCCACCAAGGCGACGAUCAGUAGCCGACCUGAGAGGGUGAUCGGCCACAUUGGGACUGAGACACGGCCCAAACUCCUACGGGAGGCAGCAGUGGGGAAUAUUGCACAAUGGGGGAAACCCUGAUGCAGCAACGCCGCGUGAAGGAAGAAGGUUUUCGGAUCGUAAACUUCUAUCAACAGGGACGAAGAAAGUGACGGUACCUGAAUAAGAAGCCCCGGCUAACUACGUGCCAGCAGCCGCGGUAAUACGUAGGGGGCAAGCGUUAUCCGGAAUUACUGGGUGUAAAGGGAGCGUAGGCGGCACGCCAAGCCAGAUGUGAAAGCCCGAGGCUUAACCUCGCGGAUUGCAUUUGGAACUGGCGAGCUAGAGUACAGGAGAGGAAAGCGGAAUUCCUAGUGUAGCGGUGAAAUGCGUAGAUAUUAGGAAGAACACCAGUGGCGAAGGCGGCUUUCUGGACUGAAACUGACGCUGAGGCUCGAAAGCGUGGGGAGCAAACAGGAUUAGAUACCCUGGUAGUCCACGCCGUAAACGAUGAGUGCUAGGUGUCGGGGAGGAAUCCUCGGUGC
rnacentral:rRNA from 1 species